rnacentral:rRNA from 1 species
GAGAUUCCCCUAGUAACGGCGAGCGAACGGGGAAGAGCCCAUCUCUUAAUUCGACACCUCUCUGGGUGUUCCGGAUAUUUGGCGUAUAGGAGAAACGCUUCCAGGUGUCCACUCUGGUGCAAGUCCCCCUGACUGGGGCUCCUACCCUGAGAGGGUGCAAGGCCCGUAGCGGCCGGAAGUGGAUCCUGGAUGUCUUCUCCUGGGAGUCGGGUUGCUUGAGAGUGCAGCCCCAAUCGGGUGGUAAACUCCAUCUAAGGCUAAAUACGACCCCGAGACCGAUAGCGAACAAGUACCGUGAGGGAAAGUUGAAAAGGACUUUGAAGAGAGAGUUCAAGAGUACGUGAAACCGUUCGUAGGCAAACGAGUGGGCCCUCGAAGGAAGCCGACGGGGGCACUCAGCCGAAGGCGCUCGAGUAGCCGGCCGGACCCGCUUCCCCAACAGGACGAGUCCGGGUGGUUUGUAAAAUCUCGAGGCAGGCGGCGCAUUUCCCCUCGUCCUCUGACGCUGCGACCGGUCGGGUGCGCUACGAGCAGUCGGCCUUACUCGCGGGGACUGGCAGGUAGCCGGGGCGACGCUUCGGCGGCGUCUCGGUAUUUAGCCGCCCCGCAAUCGCGGCCGUUCACCCGACCGCAGGACACGGCCCUCCGGGGCUUUACCGCGUCUUCCAACAUUGUGGANCGCCCUUUCCGACGGCAGGGAUGCCAUGGCCUCCGUUGGUUUCACCGCAAGGUGUCCGAUGGACGGUGGCGCCUGCUGGCCGGCGGAUUAGCGUACGGACGCAGGCGGUCUGCAGCGAGUAGGUCGGUCACCCACUCGACCCGUCUUGAAACACGGACCAAGGAGUUUAACAUGUACGCGAGUCAUUGGGUCUUGAACAGGCCCAAAGGCGCAAUGAAAGUGAAGGUCGGCUUUCGCCGUCCGCGUUGGGAUUCGUGACCUCGGUUGCGACGCACCAACGGCUCGUCCAGGCCGCCACGUCGGUCGGGCGAAGCGAGAGCGUACACGUUGAGACCCGAAAGAUGGUGAACUAUGGCUGGGCAGGACGAAGCCAGAGGAAACUCUGGUGGAGGUCCGCAGCGGUUCUGACGUGCAAAUCGAUCGUCAGACCUGGCUAUAGGGGCGAAAGACUAAUCGAACCAUC